rnacentral:rRNA from 1 species
GUGCCAGCAGCCGCGGUAAUACGGAGGGUGCAAGCGUUAAUCGGAUUCAUUGGGCGUAAAGAGGGCGUAGGCGGAAAUGUAAGUCAGAAGUGAAAUUCCGAAGCUCAACUUCGGAGCUGCAUUUGAAACUGCAUUCCUUGAGGAUAGAUGGAGAGAACGGAAUUCCACGUGUAGCGGUGAAAUGCGUAGAUAUGUGGAAGAACACCCGUGGCGAAGGCGGUUCUCUAAUUUAUUCCUGACGCUGAGGCCCGAAAGCGAGGGGAGCAAACAGGAUUAGAUACCCUGGUAGUCCUCGCCGUAAACGAUGUGUACUUGGUGUAGUCGGACUCAACCCCGGCUGUGCCGAAGCUAACGUGAUAAGUACACCGCCUGGGGAGUACGCCCGCAAGGGUGAAACUCAAAGGAAUUGGCGGGG